rnacentral:rRNA from 1 species
CAAUAGCGUAUAUUAAAGUUGUUGCAGUUAAAAAGCUCGUAGUUGAAUUUCUGUCAGGAGUGACCGGGCCUUUGGAUGAACUUCCAUUGUUUUUUGCUCUGUUUGUCAUCUCUAGACAUCCUGAAAUAUUUUUUAAAAAUAUUUCUCUUUUACUGUUAGCAAAAUAGAGUGUUCCAAGCAAAGCGUAGUUUUGAAUACAUUAGAAUGGAAUAAUAAGAUAGGACUUUGGUGCUAUUUUGUUGGUUUGCACACCAAGGUAAUGAUUAAUAGGGACAGUUGGGGUAUUCGUAUUUAAUUGUCAGAGGUGAAAUUCUUGGAUUUAUGAAAGACGAACUACUGCGAAAGCAUUUACCAAGGAUGUUUUCAUUAA